rnacentral:rRNA from 1 species
UUGAUCCUGGCUCAGAAUCAACGCUGGCGGCGUGCCUAACACAUGCAAGUCGAACGCGAAGACCCAGCAAUGGGUUGGUAGCGUGGCAAACGGGUGAGUUACGCGUGGGCGACCUACCUCCGAGUGGGGGAUAACCUUCCGAAAGGGAGUCUAAUACCGCAUGACAUCCCAUUUUUGGAUAGAUGGACAUCAAAGCCGGUGAUCGCAAGACCUGGCGCUUGGAGAGGGGCCCGCGUCCGAUUAGCUAGUUGGUGAGGUAACGGCCCACCAAGGCUUCGAUCGGUAUCCGGCCUGAGAGGUCGGACGGACACACUGGAACUGAGACACGGUCCAGACUCCUACGGGAGGCUGCAGUGGGGAAUUGUUCGCAAUGGACGAAAGUCUGACGACGCAACGCCGUGUGGAGGAUGAAGACCUUCGGGUCGUAAACUCCUUUCGACCGAGAUGAAUAGACGCCCAUCUAACACAUGGGCGUAUUGACAGUAUCGAGGGAAGCAGCUCCGGCUAACUCUGUGCCAGCAGCCGCGGUAAUAAGGU